UACUUAAUCCCAGCGUCCCAUUCCCUGGACGCCGGCCAGUCUGAAUUAGUCAGUCCCUGCAGCUGCCCAGUCUUCUCAGAAGUCCUGGACCGGGCAAGAUGAGUACACAAUGAAGGAAGAGAAAAAACAUGUAAACAUUUCAGCUUUGACAGGGGGCAAAAAGACUUUGUAAAGGUGGACUAGUAAAACUACUUCAAUCUAAAGUGCAAGAAUUGGACCAGAGCAUGAACACAAAUUCAAACCAGUAAAGGGCAAAUUUAAAACUGAUAUCUAAAAGUUCUUCAUACAGAGUGAUGAACACAUGGAAUGGGAUGCUGGGAAAAGCUGUGGAGUUGAAAACGCUACAAUUCUUUCAGAAACAGUUGGAAGCCUUGGGUUUUUUCUCCUUGAGUGGACAAAAGAUGUCAGCACUUGAAAGAGGAAGAUGUAUUAACAUGAAGGUGAAAAUAUAGUUCAUAACCUGAAACUUCUACUCGGAACAAUAUAUCAACUCUUAAAUGCAGGCCUCUGUAUAUCCAACUUUGAAAUAAAACAGAAAUGAAUUUGUCUCAAUUUAA